UACGAAGGGGGCUAGCGUUGCUCGGAAUCACUGGGCGUAAAGCGCACGUAGGCGGAUUGCUAAGUCAGGGGUGAAAUCCUGGAGCUCAACUCCAGAACUGCCUUUGAUACUGAAGAUCUUGAGUUCGGGAGAGGUGAGUGGAACUGCGAAGUGUAGAGGUGAAUUCGUAGAUAUUCGCAAGAACACCAGUGGCGAAGGCGGCUCACUGGCCCGAUACUGACGCUGAGGCACGAAAGCGUGGGGAGCAAACAGG
rnacentral:rRNA from 1 species